UAGCUUGCUACGAACGGACACACCCGAGGGUGACUUAGUGGCGGACGGGUGAGUAACGCGUGGGUAACCUGCCCCAUAGAGGGGGACAACAGUUAGAAAUGACUGCUAAUACCGCAUAGUAAUGUAGAUCCGCAUGCUUCUACAUUGAAAGCUUUUGCGCUAUGGGAUGGACCCGCGUCUGAUUAGCUAGUUGGUGAGGUAACGGCCCACCAAGGCGACGAUCAGUAGCCGGCUUGAGAGAGUGAACGGCCACAUUGGGACUGAGACACGGCCCAAACUCCUACGGGAGGCAGCAGUGGGGAAUAUUGCACAAUGGGGGAAACCCUGAUGCAGCGACGCCGCGUGAGUGAAGAAGUAUUUCGGUAUGUAAAGCUCUAUCAGCAGGAAAGAUAAUGACGGUACCUGACUAAGAAGCCCCGGCUAACUACGUGCCAGCAGCCGCGGUAAUACGUAGGGGGCAAGCGUUAUCCGGAUUUACUGGGUGUAAAGGGUGCGUAGGUGGCGAGGCAAGUCUGAUGUGAAAGCCCGGGGCUCAACCCCGGUAUUGCAUUGGAAACUGUUUUGCUAGAGUG
rnacentral:rRNA from 1 species